rnacentral:rRNA from 1 species
UACGUAGGGUGCAAGCGUUAUCCGGAAUUAUUGGGCGUAAAGAGCUCGUAGGCGGUUUGUCGCGUCUGCUGUGAAAACCGGAGGCUCAACCUCCGGCCUGCAGUGGGUACGGGCAAACUAGAGUGCGGUAGGGGAGAUUGGAAUUCCUGGUGUAGCGGUGAAAUGCGCAGAUAUCAGGAGGAAUACCGAGGCGAAGGCAGGCUACUGGGGCCGUAUCUGACGCUGAGGCGCGAAAGCGUGGGGUAGCAAACAGG